AGUACUGAGAAUGCAGAGUGCUGAGAGGUGAGCUAAGUACUGAGAGUGCAGAGAGGUGAGCUAAGUACUGAGAGUGCUGAGAGGUGAGCUAAGUACUGAGAGUACAGACAGGUGAGAGCUAAGUACUGAGAGUGCUGAGAGGUGAGAUAAGUACUGAGAGUGCUGAGAGAUGAGCUAAGUACUGAGAGUGCUGAGAGGUGAGCUAAGUACUGAGAGUGCAGAGAGGUGAGCUAAGUACUGAGAGUGCAGAGAGGUGAGCUAAGUACUGAGAGUGCAGAGAGGUGAGCUAAGUACUGAGAGUGCAGAGAGGUGAGCUAAGUACUGAGAGUGCAGAGAGGUGAGCUAAGUACUGAGAACUAAGUAUUAAGAGUGCUGAGAGCUGAGGGAGCUGCACUCCACACAGAGAAGCAGGAGCGCUGCAGGGCUCACAGAGUCCAGUAAGAUGCAAAGGUUUGACAGAGGAGAUGGGGCCGCCUGGGAGGGCUACUGAGGGGAGGACGUGCAGAC